GUGGGACCUGCCUGUCAUAAGAGGAGGGUGGUUCUUCCGGAACCCUUUUCUCUGGUUCCCUGUAAUUAAGCAGGCUUAAGUGAUUUCUCCUGUGUGCUGCUGGGUACUGUGAAGGAAACUCAGGCAAGUUCUGAAAGUGCGACAUGAUGAGGAUAUUGUCACUUCCCACAGAGAACACAGUGACAUACAAUGAUGUACUGGUGAGCUUUACUCGGGAAGAAUGGGCUUUGCUGGAUCCUUCCCAGAAGAGUCUCUACAAAGAUGUGAUGCUCGAAACCUAUAGGAACCUCACUGCCAUAGGCUAUAACUGGGAAGAUCACAAUAUUGAGAAAGAUUGUGAAAAUUCUGGAAGUCACAGAAGGCAUCUUCAAAGAGAUGAACCAAUUAAUAUUGGAGAGAAACCCUAUGAAUGUGUUCAAUAUGAUGGAGCUUUUGUAAGAAAUAAACACCAUCAGAUACAUAAAAGCACGCAUACUGGAUCCUUUAUGUCUUAUGCUGAUCUUCGAAUACAUAGAAGAACACACACUGGAGAAAAAGUCUAUGAUGAUAACCAAUGUGGGAAAGCCUUUGCAGGUCACAGCCAUCUUCAGAUCCAUAAAGGAACAUAUACUGGAGAGAAACCCUAUGAAUGUAACCAAUGUGGCAAAGCCUUUGCAUGUCACAGAUAUCUUCAAACACAUAAAAGAACACAUACUGGAGAGAAACCCUAUGAAUGUAACCAAUGUGGCAAAGCCUUUGUGUGUCACACCUAUCUUCAAAUACAUAAAAGAAUACAUACUGGAGAGAAACCCUAUGAAUGUAAUGAAUGUGGCAAAGCCUUUGCACAAUGUAUUCACCUUCAAAGACAUAAAAGAACACAUACUGGAGAGAAACCCUAUGACUGUGACCAAUGUGGCAAAGCCUUUGCACAUCGUAAACAUCUUCAAAUGCAUAAGGGAACAACACAUAAUGGAGAGAAACCCUAUGCAUGUAAUCAAUGUGGUAAGGCCUUUACAUGUCCCAGCUAUCUUCAAAUCCAUAAAAGAAACCAUACUGGAGAGAAACCCUAUGAAUGUGACCAAUGUGGCAAAGCCUAUGCACGACACAGUUACCUUCAAACACAUAAAAGAACACAUACUGGAGAGAAACCCUAUGAAUGUAACCAAUGUGGCAAAGCCUAUGCACGACACAGUGGCCUUCAAACUCAUAAAAGAACACAUACUGGAGAGAAACCCUAUGAAUGUGACCAAUGUGGCAAAGCCUUUGCAUGUCACGGCUAUCUUCAAGAACAUAAAAGAACACACACUGGAGAGAAACCCUAUGAAUGUAGCCAAUGUGGCAAAGCCUUUGCAUGUCACAGUACUCUUCGAAAGCAUAAAAGAUCACAUACUGGAGAGAAACCUUAUGAAUGUCACCAAUGUGGCAAAGCCUAUGCACAACACAGUUACCUUCAAGCACAUAAAAGAACACAUACUGGAGAGAAACUCUAUGAAUGUCACCAAUGUGGCAAAGCCUUUGCACAUCGCAACCAUCUUCAAAUACAUAAAAAAACACAUACUGGAGAGAAACUCUAUGUAUGUAAUCAAUGUGGCAAGGCCUUUGCUUGUCACAGCUAUCUUCAAAAACAUACAAGAAGACAUACUGGAGAGAAACCCCUAUGAAUGUACCCAAUGCGGCAAAGCCUUUGCACAGUUUGGACGUCUUCAAAGUCAUAAAAAAAAGACAUACUGGAGAGAAACCCUAUGAGUGUAACCAAUGUGGGUCAAGCCUUUGCAAAAUAUUGUCAUCUUCAAAAUCAUAAAAGUUCACAUACUGAAGAGACACCCUGAUGAUGCAGCAGAUGUGGUUAAUGGCUUUGCAUGUUAUGGUGGUCUUAAAAAGUAUUUUAAAAACACAUUCUUGAGAGAAUCCUAUAAAUGUAAUCAAUGUAAUAUAGCCAUUUGUUAACAUUGACCUUCUAAGGCAUGAAACAUAGUUGUGAGAUUUUAGUGGGUGGGUGUGUCUGAUUCCUUUGCCUGCUUGAGAUGCUUUUUCUUCUAUUUAAUUGCUUUGCUAACUUUGAUAUGAGAGUUUGUACCUAUUUUUAUUAAAAUAUGAUAUUCCUUGUUCAUUUAA
rnacentral:lncRNA from 1 species